rnacentral:rRNA from 1 species
UGGGGAAUUUUGGACAAUGGGCGAAAGCCUGAUCCAGCAAUGCCGCGUGUGUGAAGAAGGCCUUCGGGUUGUAAAGCACUUUUGUCCGGAAAGAAAUCCUUGGCUCUAAUACAGUCGGGGGAUGACGGUACCGGAAGAAUAAGCACCGGCUAACUACGUGCCAGCAGCCGCGGUAAUACGUAGGGUGCAAGCGUUAAUCGGAAUUACUGGGCGUAAAGCGUGCGCAGGCGGUUUGCUAAGACCGAUGUGAAAUCCCCGGGCUCAACCUGGGAACUGCAUUGGUGACUGGCAGGCUAGAGUAUGGCAGAGGGGGGUAGAAUUCCACGUGUAGCAGUGAAAUGCGUAGAGAUGUGGAGGAAUACCGAUGGCG